GAGUUUGAUCCUGGCUCAGAGUGAACGCUGGCGGCAGGCCUAACACAUGCAAGUCGAACGGCAGCACAGAGGAGCUUGCUCCUUGGGUGGCGAGUGGCGGACGGGUGAGGAAUACGUCGGAACAUGUCCAAGUCGUGGGGGAUAGCCCGGCGAAAGCCGGAUUAAUACCGCAUGUGCCCGAGAGGGGAAAGUGGGGGACCGCAAGGCCUCACGCGAUUGGGUUGGCCGAUGUCCGAUUAGCUAGUUGGCGGGGUAAGAGCCCACCAAGGCGAUGAUCGGUAGCUGGUCUGAGAGGAUGAUCAGCCACACUGGGACUGAGACACGGCCCAGACUCUUACGGGAGGCAGCAGUGGGGAAUUUUGGACAAUGGGGGCAACCCUGAUCCAGCCAUUCCGCGUGAGUGAAGAAGGCCCUCGGGUUGUAAAGCUCUUUUGUCCGGAACGAAACGGUUACGGUGAAUAUCCGUGGCUAAUGACGGUACCGGAAGAAUAAACACCGGCUAACUACGUGCCAGCAGCCGCCGUAAU
rnacentral:rRNA from 1 species